GUGGGGGGGGUGCUCCCGGGGGCGGCGGUUGCCCGGAUGGGCCGUUAGUCGGAGCCCAGCCGCGGAGUGAGCGAGGGAGACGGGAGGAGCCGAACCCGGCGCCAUCCGCCGCCAUCCGCCCCCGCCCCACCGCCAUCCCACCUCGGGGAGCCCCUAGGCCCCGGUCCCGGACCCCCGCGCACCCGGCCAGGCUCCGGCACGUUUUGGGGGAGGUGCCUGCAGGACCCAACGUACUCAAUGAGCUUCCAGCGCAAUGUCCGAUCGCUCGGGGCCGACUGCCAAGGGGAAGGAUGGAAAGAAGUAUUCCUCGCUCAACCUGUUUGAUACGUAUAAGGGCAAGUCCUUAGAGAUCCAGAAACCCGCUGUUGCCCCUCGCCAUGGCCUGCAGAGUCUCGGGAAAGUUGCCAUUGCCCGGCGUAUGCCACCCCCAGCCAACCUUCCAAGCCUGAAAGCCGAGAACAAAGGCAAUGACCCCAACGUCUCACUAGUGCCGAAAGACGGAACAGGAUGGGCAAGCAAACAGGAGCAGUCCGACCCCAAGAGUUCCGAUGCCUCAACCGCUCAGCCGCCGGAAUCGCAGCCACUGCCGGCUUCACAGACGCCUGCCUCCAACCAACAGAAACGACCCCCAGCAGCCCCCGAGAACGCUCCUUCGGUUCCAAGCGGGGUAAAGUCCUGGGCACAAGCCAGCGUCACCCAUGGAGCACAUGGAGAUGGUGGAAGGGCAUCAAGCCUACUGUCACGAUUCUCUCGCGAGGAAUUUCCGACCCUGCAGGCGGCUGGCGACCAGGACAAGGCUGCCAAGGAAAGGGAGUCUGCCGAACAGUCGUCUGGGCCCGGACCAAGCCUCCGCCCCCAAAAUUCUACAACUUGGAGGGACGGAGGUGGGCGUGGCCCUGAUGAGCUGGAGGGCCCAGACUCCAAACUUCAUCACAGCCAUGAUCCCCGGGGGGCGCUACAGCCUUCAGGCCCACCCCAGUUCCCUCCAUACCGCGGAAUGAUGCCGCCCUUUAUGUAUCCCCCGUAUCUCCCGUUCCCUCCGCCCUAUGGACCCCAGGGGCCUUACCGAUAUCCUACUCCUGAUGGGCCCAGCCGUUUCCCUCGUGUGGCGGGCCCUCGGGGCUCAGGGCCGCCGAUGCGCCUUGUAGAACCUGUGGGUCGGCCUUCGAUUCUUAAAGAGGAUAAUCUCAAAGAGUUUGACCAGUUGGACCAGGAGAACGAUGAUGGUUGGGCAGGGGCCCAUGAAGAGGUUGACUACACUGAAAAGCUCAAGUUCAGUGAUGAGGAAGAUGGGCGAGACUCUGAUGAGGAGGGAGCUGAGGGCCACAAGGAGUCCCAAUCAGCUGCUGGUGAGGAACGGCCCCCUGAAGCAGAUGGCAAAAAGGGCAACUCCCCCGGCAGCGAACCGCCCCCUCCCAAGACGGCCUGGGCAGAGACCUCUCGGCCUCCAGAGACAGAGCCGGGGCCUCCUGCCCCAAAGCCUCCCCCACCCCCACCUCACCGGGGCCCCGCCGGGAACUGGGGCCCCCCUGGGGACUACCCAGAUCGGGGGGGGCCUCCCUGCAAGCCCCCAGCACCCGAAGACGAGGAUGAGGCCUGGCGGCAGCGGCGAAAACAAUCUUCAUCAGAGAUCUCCUUGGCUGUGGAGCGGGCCCGGCGACGCCGAGAAGAGGAAGAGCGCCGCAUGCAGGAGGAACGCCGGGCAGCCUGUGCCGAAAAGCUCAAGCGACUUGAUGAGAAGUUUGGGGCGCCCGACAAGCGGCUCAAAGCAGAGCCUGCUGUCCCACCUGCUGCCCUUCCUGCCCCGGCUCCACCACCUGCAGUCCCCAAAGAACUCUCUGCGCCUCCAGUUCCUCCACCAGCACCAGCCCCAACACCAGAAAAAGAACCAGAAGAGCCGGCCCAGGCCCCUCCUGCCCAGUCCACCCCCACUACAGGUGUGGCUCCAGCUCCCACCCUGGUGAGUGGUGGUGGCAGUACCAGUAGCACCAGCAGUGGCAGCUUCGAAGCCAGCCCAGUGGAACCCCAGCUAUCCUCAAAAGAGGGUUCUGAACAACCAGAAGAGGUUCCUUCUCCUGCCACAACCCCUGCCCCAAAGGUGGAACCCAAGGGUGAUGGGGUUGGUCCCAGCCGACAGCCCCUCAGCCAGGGCUUGGGCUACCCCAAAUAUCAGAAGUCAUUGCCACCUCGUUUCCAGCGGCAGCAGCAGGAGCAGCUUUUGAAGCAACAGCAACAGCAGCAGUGGCAGCAGCAUCAACAGGGUUCUGCCCCACCCGCUCCGGUACCACCAUCACCGCCCCAGCCUGUGACCAUGGGGGCUGUGCCAGCUCCACAGGCUCCGCCCCCACCCCCCAAGGCCCUGUACCCAGGUGCUCUGGGCCGGCCCCCACCCAUGCCCCCAAUGAACUUUGAUCCCCGGUGGAUGAUGAUUCCUCCUUAUGUGGACCCCCGGCUCCUCCAGGGCCGGCCCCCUCUGGACUUCUACCCUCCUGGUGUGCAUCCCACUGGCUUAGUUCCCCGGGAGCGCUCAGACAGUGGGGGUUCAAGCUCAGAGCCGUUCGAGCGCCAUGCACCUCCCCUGUUGCGGGAUCGGGGCACCCCACCAGUGGAUCCAAAGUUGGCCUGGGUAGGAGAUGUCUUCACCACCACGCCCACUGACCCCCGCCCGCUCACCUCCCCACUGCGCCAGGCGGCUGAUGAGGAUGACAAGGGGAUGAGGAGUGAGACUCCUCCAGUACCUCCCCCACCACCCUAUUUGGCCAGUUAUCCAGGCUUUCCUGAGAAUGGAGCCACUGGGCCCCCGAUCCCUCGCUUCCCUCUGGAUGAACCAGCUCCUGCAGGGCCUCGUCCACUCCCUUGGCCCCCAGGCAAUGAUGAAGCCACCAAAAUACAAGCUCCCCCGCCGAAGAAGGAAACCCCCAAGGAGGAGACUCCACAACUGACGGGGCCAGAAGCCAACCGAAAGCCUACCCGAGGAGUUGGAGGCCAAGGCCCCCCUCCACCUCGCAGAGAGAGCCGCACUGAGACCCGCUGGGGUCCUCGCCCAGGCAGUAGUCGUCGUGGGAUCCCUCCAGAGGAACCAGGGGCCCCUCCCCGCCGUGCUGGGCCUAUAAAGAAACCCCUGCCACCUACGAAAGCUGAAGAGCUCCCUCCCAAACCCCUGGAACAGUGUGAUGAAAGCCCCAAGGUUCCAAAGCCAGACCUCCUCAAGACGGCAAAGGGGAAGAUAGGGGUCCCCAAGGAGACCCCACCCAGUGGGAAUCUUUCCCCUGCCCCAAGGCUUCGGAGGGACUACUCCUAUGAAAGAGUGGGUCCUACCUCUUGCCGGGGCCGGGGCCGAGGCGAGUAUUUUGCCAGAGGGAGGGGUUUUCGGGGCACCUAUGGGGGCCGGGGGCGGGGAGCCCGAAGCCGAGAGUUCCGCAGUUACCGAGAGUUCCGAGGAGAUGACGGGCGUGGAGGUAGUGCAGGUGGACCCAGCCAUCCCCCUGCUCCCAGAGGCCGCACUGCCAGCGAGACGCGAAGUGAGGGUUCGGAGUAUGAAGAAAUCCCCAAACGGCGCCGGCAGCGGGGCUCAGAAACGGGUAGUGAGACCCAUGAGAGCGAUCUGGCCCCCUCAGACAAGGAGGCUCCUCCACCCAAGGAAGGAGUGCUCACCCAGGUUCCUCUUGCUCCUCCACCAUCGGGAGCCCCUCCUUCACCAGCCCCAGCCCGAUUUUCCACCGCCCGUGGUGGGCGCGUCUUCACUCCCAGGGGAGUGCCGUCACGCCGGGGUCGAGGAGGAGGGCGGCCCCCUCCGCCCAUUUGUCCAGGCUGGAGCCCUCCAACCAAGUCCCUGGCCCCCAAGAAGCCUCCGACAGCUCCUUUGCCACCGAGUAAGGAGCCUUUGAAAGAGAAGCUGAUCACAGGUCCUCUGUCCCCCAUAGCCCGGGGAGGCAGCAGUGGAGGCAGCAACGUGGGCAUGGGUGUGGAAGACGGGGAGCGGCCCCGACGGAGGAGGCACGGGAGGGCUCAGCAGCAGGACAAACCGCCUCGGUUCAGGAGGCUGAAACAGGAACGGGAGAAUGCAGCCAGAGGGACUGAGGGCAAGCCCUCUUCCCUAGCCCUUCCAGCCCCUGCCUCUGGAGUGGAGGAGACACUCACGACAGUUUCCAUGCCCCCACCCCCGCGCCGGGCAGCUGCCAAGUCUCCCGAUCUGUCAAACCAGAACUCCGAUCAAGCCAACGAGGAAUGGGAGACUGCGUCAGAGAGCAGCGACUUUGCCAGUGAGCGCAGGGGGGACAAGGAGGCUCCCCCACCAGCAUUGCUGGCCCCCAAAGCUGUGGGAACUCCCGGGGGCAGUGGAGGCGGAACCGGACCAGGCAUUUCAACCAUGUCCCGUGGAGAUUUAAGCCAGAGAGCCAAGGAUUUGAGCAAGCGGAGCUUCUCAAGUCAGCGGCCUGGCAUGGAAAGGCAGAACCGGCGCCCAGUCCCUGGCAGCAAGGCUGGCAGCAGUGGCAGCAGCAGUGGAGGAGGUGGGGGACCUGGAGGGAGGACUGGCCCAGGGCGAGGAGACAAGAGGAGCUGGCCCUCUCCCAAGAACCGAAGACCUGAGGAGCGUCCCCCAGGGCUUCCUCUGCCUCCCCCGCCUCCCAGCAGCUCGGCUGUCUUCCGCCUGGACCAAGUUAUCCACAGCAACCCUGCUGGCAUCCAACAGGCUCUGGCCCAACUCAGCAGCCGCCAAGGGAGUGCAGCUGCACCAGGGGGGCACCCAAGGCCCAAGCCUGGGCCUCCCCAAACCCCCCAGGGCCCCUCCCCUCGGCCCCCAACUCGAUAUGACCCUCAGAGGGCCAACAACAGCGUCGGUUCGGACCCCCACUUCGAGGAGCCAGGGCUGAUGGUGAGGGGGGUGGGCGGAACUCCCCGGGACUCUGCCGGGGUUAAUCCCUUCCCCCCGAAACGGCGGGAGCGGCCUCCCAGAAAACCGGAGCUGCUGCAGGAGGAAUCUUUGCCGCAGUCUCAUAGUUCUGGAUUUUUGGGCCCCAAGCCUGAGGGCCCAGGCCCUCAGGGAGAGUGCAGAGAGGCAGGGACAGAGGCCCUGACUCCUCACAUCUGGAACCGUUUACAUACUGCCGCUAGCCGGAAGAGUUACCGGCCUGGCUCCAUGGAGCCCUGGAUGGAACCCUUGAGCCCUUUUGAGGAUGUUGCUGGAACAGAGAUGAGUCAGUCUGACAGUGGGGUGGACCUGAGUGGGGAUUCUCAGGUGUCAUCAGGUCCCUGCAGCCAGCGAAGUUCCCCUGAUGGAGGACUCAAGGGGGCAGCAGAGGGGCCUCCCAAGCGGCCUGGAGACCCCUCACCCCUGAAUGCUGUUCCUGGUGAGGGUUCACCUGGCUCUGAAUCCUCUGAACCUCCUAGGAGACGGCCACCUGCUCCCCUUGAUGGGGACAGAAAGGAGCUGCCCCGGGAGCAGCCUUUGCCCCCUGGCCCCAUUGGCACAGAACGGUUGCAGCGUUCGGACCGAGGCCCAGAGCCCGGCUCCCUCCGGCCGUCCCAUCGAUCUGGGCCCCCGGUCCAGUUUGGCACCAGUGACCAGGACUCGGACUUGCGCCUAGUGGUAGGAGACAGUUUAAAAGCAGAGAAGGAGUUAGCAUCAGUCACUGAGGCCAUCCCUGUAUCCCGAGAUUGGGAGUUACUCCCCAGUGCUUCUGCCUCAGCUGAGCCACAGUCCAAGAACCUGGGUCCUGGGCACUGUGGCCCAGAGCCCAGUUCCUCAGGCCAGCGUUUGUACCCUGAGGUCUUCUAUGGCAGCCCUGGGCCUCCCAAUUCUCAGGUCUCAGGGGGAGCCAUAGACUCUCAGUUACAUCCCAACAAUGGAGGCUUCCGCCCUGGGACACCCUCACUUCACCCUUACAGAUCACAGCCCCUGUACCUCCCCCCGGGCCCAGCGCCCCCCUCGGCACUGCUUUCUGGGGUAGCUGUCAAGGGCCAGUUUUUGGAUUUCUCCGCACUGCAAGCAACAGAGCUGGGGAAGCUGCCAGCUGGGGGAAUCCUCUACCCUCCACCUUCCUUCCUCUACUCUCCAGCUUUCUGCCCCAGCCCUUUGCCCGACCCACCCUUGCUUCAGGUGCGCCAGGAUCUGCCAUCCCCCUCAGAUUUUUAUUCUCCUCUGCAACCUGGUGGCCAAAGUGGGUUCCUCCCCUCAGGGGCCCCUGCCCAACAGAUGCUUCUACCCAUGGUAGACUCACAGCUGCCUGUGGUGAACUUUGGCUCCCUGCCACCAGCGCCACCUCCUGCCCCACCGCCCCUUUCUCUGUUACCUGUGGGCCCUGCUCUGCAGCCCCCCAGCCUGGCUGUGCGGCCCCCACCUGCUCCUGCUACUCGGGUGCUGCCUUCACCUGCCAGACCCUUCCCCCCUAGCUUGGGGCGAGCCGAGCUGCACCCAGUGGAACUAAAGCCCUUCCAGGAUUAUCGGAAACUGAGCAGCAACCUUGGGGGACCUGGGUCGUCACGUACUCCCCCAGUUGGAAGGCAAGAGGAGGGAGUGGGGAUGCAGACUGCUCACCCUUAAGGGCUUUCUUACUAAGGGGCCAGGGAACAAGGGUCAGGCUUGCCUUAAAAACUUUUUCCUUUAGGUCAUUCUCUGGCCUCAAUUCCCGUCUCAAGGCCCCACCAUCUACCUAUAGCGGAGUCUUCCGCACCCAGCGCAUCGACCUCUACCAGCAGGCCUCCCCACCGGAUGCCCUGCGCUGGAUGCCGAAGCCUUGGGAGCGGACAGGGCCACCUUCUCGAGAGGGGCCUUCCCGACGGGCAGAGGAGCCUGGGUCUCGAGGGGACAAGGAUCCUGGGUUGCCCCCACCCCGCUGAGGGAGUUCCCCUUGCCCCCCACCCCCCGGGGCUUGUAUAUAGAUUAUAAAUAUAUAAGGGGGAAAGGGGUGGGUGGGGAGGGGUUGUGGGGCUGGGGCCCCACUUCCCCUCCACCCCCCUCCCCUGGUCCCCUAUCCCUGGGGCCGUUUGUUAAAAAAGAGUAAUAAAAGGAUUAAAAAAUUUUUCUGAAAUGA